rnacentral:misc_RNA from 1 species
GAUGAAGAACGUAGCGAAAUGCGAUAAGUAAUGUGAAUUGCAGAAUUCAGUGAAUCAUCGAAUCUUUGAACGCACAUUGCGCCCGCCAGUAUUCUGGCGGGCAUGCCUGUUCGAGCGUCAUUUCAACCAUCAAGCCCCCCGGCUUGUGUUGGGGACCUGCGGCUGCCGCAGGCCCUGAAAAGCAGUGGCGGGCUCGCUGUCACACCGAGCGUAGUAGAUCUCAUCUCGCUCAGGGCGUGCUGCGGGUUCCGGCCGUUAAACCACCUUCAUAACCCAAGGUUGACCUCGGAUCAGGUAGGAAGACCCGCUGAACUUAAGCAUAUCAAUAAGGGAGGA